rnacentral:misc_RNA from 1 species
GUAGGUGAACCUGCGGAAGGAUCAUUAUCACGUAUCCACGUAUAAACCAAUGUUGAACUGUCAAUAACCUUUGGAGAUUAUUUUAAGGUAGUGUGUGUUUAGAUAUUUAGCGUUUUUUGAAGUGAUUAAACGUUGUCUAAAUAUACCAACAAUUUCGAUUGUGCUUUAAUUUCUCUAGAGUUGUAUUAAUCACUUUAUUAUUAACCAUUAUAACAACAUCAUUAUAACUUUUGAACUAAAUUAAUUUAUA